rnacentral:tRNA from 1 species
GUUGGUUUAGUAUAAUUUAUUACAUCUGUUUUAAGCGCAGAAGAUAGAUAAUCAACU